UGGGGAAUAUUGGACAAUGGGCGAAAGCCUGAUCCAGCCAUGCCGCGUGUGUGAAGAAGGUCUUCGGAUUGUAAAGCACUUUAAGUUGGGAGGAAGGGCAGUAAGCGAAUACCUUGCUGUUUUGACGUUACCGACAGAAUAAGCACCGGCUAACUCUGUGCCAGCAGCCGCGGUAAUACAGAGGGUGCAAGCGUUAAUCGGAAUUACUGGGCGUAAAGCGCGCGUAGGUGGUUCGUUAAGUUGAAUGUGAAAGCCCCGGGCUCAACCUGGGAACUGCAUCCAAAACGGGCGAGCUAGAGUAGGGCAGAGGGUGGUGGGAUUUCCUGUGUAGCGGUGAAAUGCGUAGAUAUAGGAAGGAACACCAGUGGCGAAGGCGACCACCUGGGGUCAUACUGACACUGAGGUGCGAAAGCGUGGGGAGCAAACAGG
rnacentral:rRNA from 1 species